UACAAAAAUAAAAAGCAUCCCUCUCGCUUAAUAUAUAAUGAUAGUAUGCUCUCAUAAAAGUAUGAAAUAUUUUUUUAAUAAACCCAAGAUCUUAAAAAUUAACCUUCUUCCGAACAAAUCCAUCUUUCUCAGCUCAACAUCAAUUAAAGAACCAUGUUAUUAUCCACGGUGUAAAUAACCAAUUCUCAAUUGAUGUUGGAACAAACUAGCUAAACCUCUUAAGAUCUUGUCCAACAAACUAGCUAAACCUCUUAAGAUCUUGGACUUAUUAAAAAACAUAAUUC
rnacentral:lncRNA from 1 species